rnacentral:rRNA from 1 species
GGCAACCCUGACGGAGCAACGCCGCGUGGGGGAGGAAUGUCUGUGGAUUGUAAACCCCUUUUCUCAGGGAAGAAGCUCUGACGGUACCUGAGGAAUCAGCAUCGGCUAACUCCGUGCCAGCAGCCGCGGUAAGACGGAGGAUGCAAGCGUUAUCGGGAAUUAUUGGGCGUAAAGCGUCCGUAGGCGGUUUAUCAAGUCUGCCGUUAAAGACUGCAGCUUAACUGUGGGCGAGCGGUGGAAACUGAUGAACUAGAGUACGGUAGGGGUAGAGGGAAUUCCCAGUGUAGCGGUGAAAUGCGUAGAUAUUGGGAAGAACACCAGUGGCGAAGGCGCUCUACUGGGCCGCAACUGACGCUGAGGGACGAAAGCUAGGGGAGCG